AAAGUAGAGAGGAGACAUUGCAGGAACUGGCAGCAGAGGAGGAUUAUAAAGUAGUGAAGAAAAUAUCUGGUGAUCCAUUAACAUUCAGCAGUAGUCUUCACAGGACAUCACCCAUCACAGCGCCUCCACCUCACUGCCUGACAACCGAGGUAACCAGUGGCAAAAAGAUUCUAGAAGUCACCAAGAAGAUCAUUGAUCUGCUGACAGGAGAGGUUCCUAUAAGGUGUCAGGAUGUCACUGUCUA